GAUGAAGAACGUAGCGAAAUGCGAUAAGUAAUGUGAAUUGCAGAAUUCAGUGAAUCAUCGAAUCUUUGAACGCACAUUGCGCCCGCCAGUAUUCUGGCGGGCAUGCCUGUUCGAGCGUCAUUUCAACCAUCAAGCCCCCGGCUUGUGUUGGGGACCUGCGGCUGCCGCAGGCCCUGAAAAGCAGUGGCGGGCUCGCUGUCACACCGAGCGUAGUAGCAUACAUCUCGCUCUGGGCGUGCUGCGGGUUCCGGCCGUUAAACCACCUUCAUAACCCAAGGUUGACCUCGGAUCAGGUAGGAAGACCCGCUGAACUUAAGCAUAUCAAUCAGCGGAGGA
rnacentral:misc_RNA from 1 species